UUUAUGAAUAGGCACUUGUCCAGAUAAUGUUAGCAUUAAUUAAUGUUAGUAUGCGUCAAACUAGAGCAAAGUUUUGGUGAGGCAUGACGCAGCAUGAACCCAGACACGCACACACAUGGUACGUCUGUCUAAUAAAUCUGGCUGGGGUGAGCGAGAGAGGCCUGCCAGAUUUACCCAUCAUGCCUCUCUAAUCCUCUCCCGGUCCUGCUACUGAGGGAGAGCAAAUAAUGGAGGCCCAUCGUGAAGCCCUGUCGAAGACGGAGGAAAACCUCAGACAAGAGCUGGCUCUUAAGCUGGAGGCUGCUCUAAAGGAGCAAAGGUCCCAGAAUGCAGCGCACCUGAAGGAACGGGAGGAGGAGCUAAAGAGGGAGGCGGAGCUAGUGCUGGUGAUUGACAGGGAGAAGAGUUGGGAGAUGUUGCUGCAGUGCCAGAGAGAGAAGGAGCAGUUGCAGAAUAAGCUGUCCUCCCAGGUCCUCUCCGCCACACAGGAGCUCAGGGAGGACGCGCAUAGGCUGACGGAGAGACUGAGGGAGGUGCAGGAGGAGGCGGACAGGAGCAGCGCUAAAGAGGAGGCGCUACAGCGUGCACUGGAGGAAUCCCGGCAACAGGGGGCGCUGGAGCUGAGCCAGGCCCGGAUGGAACUGCAGCUGUUAAAAAAAGACAAGGCCGUGCUGCGAGACGAGGUGGUAUUGCUUCAGGACACAGUUAGGAGGGAGUGUGAGGAGAGAGGGGAGCUGAUUACUGCUCUUACCCACGCUAGAGAGCAGCUCCUGGGCUUACGACGACCAGCCUCCCGUCCAAGUCUCCCCGACCUCCAGGGAAAACCCAUGAGACUGCCCCUCAACCGCUCCUUCACCCCUCAGCCCGCACUGAGACCCUCCCCUCCUCCCCCAGUCAACGGGAGGCCAGAAGGGGGAGGCAGGGGUGAGAGGAGCGCUGCGUCCUGGCAUGCAGGAGGCGGGUCGGGAAGGAGAAGGGGGGGGGGGGGAGGCGGCAGCCUGCCCAAACUGAAGUCCAGUGCUGUUAGUGAGGUCGAACAUAGAGUUCAUUUAGUGAUGGGGAGGAAAGAGAGGCUCUGACACCCUCAUGUAUUUGUGUCACUAGGCUGGUGAUGACCAGCAAUUAAUGUUACAAAAUACUGUUUGGGGGGCCCCUAAGUGGCGCGGGGGUCUAAGACACUGUCUCGCGGGAGCGCUGCGUUGCAACAGCCUGGCGUUUGAAUCCUGGUCAUGGAAUUCUGACAGUGCAAAGGGGACCAGAAGAGGUCGUCACAAAAUGAUGAUUCAUCCUAAACCUACAUGUAAACCUAAUCUUAAACCAUAACACUGUACCCUUUCCUGUACUUGUGAGAACACACACAAGACAACACACAGCUAAUGAACAGUUUGUGGGAGCGUUGUUUCAAAAUAUAGAAACGUAUUGAGCUCUCGUAGACAGUCAGAAAGGUGGGAACAUGUCUGCAUGUACCAUCCCACCCGCUGAAAACCCAGAGCCCAACAAGCACUCCUCUACACCAACACAUUAGCACACGCACUUUACAUUCAUCUCUACCCAUUGUCAAUUACAGAUGCGCUAUAACUUCAUCCCAGGCACACACUCACACACGCACUAAUGUUCAAAGAGCAAUCGGUCCAUACAGGGAGGGUUACAUACGCACACAAACAUAACACACACAGACAUACACAAACAUAACACACACACUGCCCCUGUUUUUCUUUUGGUUUUGACGUCACUCACUCCGGCAGAAAAGUUGGAAAUGUGUGUGGCAUGGAACCCAUUUCAAAACGGAAAGCCUCUUGGUAGGCCUCUCUUUCAAACACGCUCUGUCUCUUUGGUAUGCCCCUUACUCUCCGUCCAAUGCAACACACCAAAUUGUACCCAAGGUUCCAUUCCUUGCUCUUCCUUGUGAUUGUGGCGUCACUAGAUGCAACAGACACAAAUUCCAAAUCAGCAGAAUCAUAGAAACACAUCUGAGCAGCUUACAGUCUGACAGUCGAUGUGGAUUGUGUCUUUUAAAUUACAAAAUAAAUGUAGGUAAAUGUAACAAAUAUGUGAUUUUGUGUCUUUAAUUAGAGGUUAGAGUUAGUUUAGCAGAGUGGUUAAGGUUAAGACUAAUUUUAAAAUGUUCAGACGAGAAAUUGUCUUAAUGGGAGGGGUUUAACCAUAACUGUGACUGUGUUUGUUCCAACUAGUGACAACCUUGUCGUUGCAACAUAGCAUGGUUUAAAGGGACUGGAAUGUUUAGCUAGAGAGACUGAUAACCUGGCUAUCUCCCUUCACUCUCUCUUGUUCAAAUGGUAUUUACUUAGUCUCCUGUGUGGUUCGUGCGAAAGCUUCCCAUUAUAUCCACUGAUGUCUUUUUUAGCGUGAGAGAGUCUCCCCCACUCUCCCUGUCUUCAAACUAUAUUUGCCUGGUCUCGUGUAAGAGUGCAUUUCUCUCAUUGUGCUUUCCCAUACACACACGCAUUUUGGCAUGAUGUAGUUUAUUUUUAAGGCAUAAAGCUGUGCCUUGUCACACACUCAUGUGUUACAUUACCACAGCUGGGGUGUGAUAAUGUAAUUGUGUAUGUAUGUGUGUCCGUGAGUUGCCCUGUGCUCAUGUUCUCCCUCCAGAUGCACUCCCAACCUUUAACCUGUCCUUUCAUCUCCUCCUCCCCGACACCCUGUGGCCUCGCACCUCACUUCCUGCUACCGUGACCUUCACUUCCUGAACCUCCUCCGCUGGCUCUUUGAAGAGUGCAGGUCUUUCAACAUGGGCCAGGGAGUUAUAAACACACUCCUCGCCUUGCCCUGGCUCUCUCAAUCUUUCGGCCCUGCUAUGUAUUUCUCCCUUCCGCCGUAAUCUCUGCGUCCUCGCACCCUUUAUGCCCCUCCGCGUGUCGACAUGUGACGGGCUUGGCGUUACGCAAGUGUUUUUUCAUUUGUGAUUAUCAUUACAGAACAUGCAUUCACACUUGCAUCUAAGAAUGGAUCCCAAAAUAAUGUUAAGUCUGAAAACAUGAAUAAGAGUUUGUUAAGUUUGUCGAUAUGGCAUUUGUGCUGUGCCGUAAUUCCUCCCACACGCGUGUAACCAUGGUGUUUAUGUAUGUGAUUAACCCCUCGUUCGUCAUAAGGGAGGCCCCUAACCGCUCCUGCCCUAUGUCCAUAGCCAUUGUGGAAUUCCCAUGAGCCUUCCCACACCCAUAAUCAUUGUCACCCAGGAAACGGUGGAAAAGAAUGCUGAGUAUUCACCAUGGCGAUGGCGUAAGUGUCCCUUAGCUUGUGGGUUGUUGCACAGCACAUUCCACAGCCUUAAAUCAACACGGAGUGUUUAAAAUGUAAAACAUACAUACACUGGAAAGUGUUAAAGUUGCAUUCAGUGACUUUUGGCCACCGGUUAUAAAAGUGGUGCUGUUGAGCCAAACCAGUUCCCAAAGAAUGUGCUAAAAAUGCUCCACAUGUCAUCAAAAUAUGUUUGAGGUAUGAUAGUGAUUCUACUCAUAGAUUAUGCCCAUAUAAACAACAUAUUACACAUCCAGCCCAAAAUUGGAGGUUUAAAAUUAGUUUGUUAUUCAAAGUUGUGGAAUGCAUCUUUAAAGUAUGAGUAAAGCCUUUGAAUAUUUUCAAGAGAGCCUUGUCUUUCAGGUUAAUUGUGCCCUUUUCACCCAUGACUGCAUUUAUUUAGUGACAGAGACUUUGUUAUGUCAUUGGUCAACAUUACCUUACCAGUGGAGAUCUUAAGCACCUCCUUUUUUACAUGAUACCGGGUAUUUCCUAAGGCCUUAUUUUGCGGAAUUGGUUUUACUCAAAUACCAGGGCCUGAAUGUCCUAUGUAUCACUUUGAACCACACCAAUAGUUAUCAUAUUUAUUAUCAUUAUUGGUUGGUAGUAAAUCUAAAUAAAACUAGUAUAUUCUGUUCUCUAGGUUACAAAAUCUACUUCCGAAUUACCUUAAAAUUAUCACACUGAAUGGUUCUGUUGUGGAACGUGUUCCAUCCUACAAAUAUCUUUUAAAAAACAUUACUGAGUCGAUGAAGAAGCAUGAGAUAAUUAUAUACUUUUUUAAAAUAAAAACAAGAAAUUUUUGUUGCGUCAGCAUAGAAUUUAAAUUGUGCAAGCAACAUUUAUGUCCCUGCUAGAUUAUAGUGAUUUGUAUGCCUCAGCUUCUGUCCUGAAACCUCUGGACGCAGUCUAUCAUUCAGCCCUGCAUUUUACCACUAGUGUGGAUUUUCUGAAAACAUCAAGUUUUACAUCAGUUGGCUGUGACUCGCUGACCUCCAGAAGGACCAUGGUUGAUAUUUUUAUAUAAGGCUAUUUUACAGAAACUUCCUAUCUUACCUAUAAAAUGUGUUGAACAAGCACCAGUUAUCAAAUACCUUCUCAAGACUGACUUGUCUUGGAGACACCAUAGGCAUAUUCAGAAUUGGGUAAAUUGCUUUUGAAUACUGUGCUCCACACACAUGGAAUGCCAUUCAGAAUUAUCUUAAGCUGAACGUUUUAGUGCCUAUGGGGCUAUUUUAAUGUCUGAUAAACGAAGUAUUAAAUGUGAUUGAUUUUUACAUGUGUAUUUUUAUAUUUCUAUUUUAUCUAUGUUUUAUUUUAGUAAUACAUGGCUCAGCUGUGAAAGAGACCUUGGUCUCAGGGGAUUUCCCUGUGUAAAUAAAGUUAAAUAAAUAUAAAUACUUGGACUCAAUGCAUCCAUUACAGAAGUUACUCAGUUAAGUUUGUAUACGUGCUUGUUCCAGUUUGCUUUUGAGUGUGACAG
ensembl:lncRNA